CGGCGGACGGGUGAGUAACGCGUGGGUAACCUGCCUCAUACAGGGGGAUGACAGUUGGAAACGGCUGCUAAUACCGCAUAAGCGCACAGUACCGCAUGGUACGGUGUGAAAAACUCCGGUGGUAUGAGAUGGACCCGCGUCUGAUUAGGUAGUUGGUGGGGUAACGGCCUACCAAGCCGACGAUCAGUGGCCGACCUGAGGGGGUGACCGGCCACAUUGGGACUGAGACACGGCCCAA
rnacentral:rRNA from 1 species